GAUGAACGCUGGCGGCGUGCCUAAUACAUGCAAGUCGAGCGAACGGACGAGAAGCUUGCUUCUCUGAUGUUAGCGGCGGACGGGUGAGUAACACGUGGAUAACCUACCUAUAAGACUGGGAUAACUUCGGGAAACCGUAGCUAAUACCGGAUAAUAUUUUGAACCGCAUGGUUCAAAAGUGAAAGACGGUCUUGCUGUCACUUAUAGAUGGAUCCGCGCUGGAUUAGCUAGUUGGUAAGGUAACGGCUUACCAAGGCAACGAUGCGUAGCCGACCUGAGAGGGUGAUCGGCCACACUGGAACUGAGACACGGUCCAGACUCCUACGGGAGGCAGCAGUAGGGAAUUUUCCGCAAUGGGCGAAAGCCUGACGGAGCAACGCCGCGUGAGUGAUGAAGGUCUUCGGAUCGUAAAACUCUGUUAUUAGGGAAGAACAUAUGUGUAAGUAACUGUGCACAUCUUGACGGUACCUAAUCAGAAAGCCACGGCUAACUACGUG
rnacentral:rRNA from 1 species